UAAUUAAAACUUAAAAGAAUAUUAAAUUAUUUGUAUUUAGCUUAUUUCUUAUUAGUAUAUUUAAUAUACAUAGUUUGUUUUAGAUUUGUCCGGGGCUAACUAAGGAACGUGGAGUGCUAAUCUAUCAGAAAACGUUUGCAAAAUACUCUACUCCAGGGGAUCCUGCAAGAACCAGCUUAACUAUUUUUAACGAAGAUUUAAUUCUUCUUGAAGAAGCACUCAGUUGUUUGAGCUUGGUAGAAAAGGGAACAUAUGAACAUUCAAUAAUGUUAAAACUAGAAAAUGUCGUUAAAAAUAAAAUUCUUUAUUGAA